rnacentral:rRNA from 1 species
GACGAACGCUGGCGGCGUGCUUAACACAUGCAAGUCGAACGGAAAGGCCCUGCUUUUGUGGGGUGCUCGAGUGGCGAACGGGUGAGUAACACGUGAGUAACCUGCCCUUCACUUUGGGAUAACUUCAGGAAACUGGGGCUAAUACCGGAUAGGAGCUCCUGCUGCAUGGUGGGGGUUGGAAAGUUUCGGCGGUUGGGGAUGGACUCGCGGCUUAUCAGCUUGUUGGUGGGGUAGUGGCUUACCAAGGCUUUGACGGGUAGCCGGCCUGAGAGGGUGACCGGCCACAUUGGAACUGAGAUACGGCACAGACUCCUACGGGAGGCAGCAGUGGGGAAUAUUGCACAAUGGGAGGAAGCAUGAUGCAGCAAAGCCGCGUGCGGGAUGACGGCAUUCGGGUUGUAAACCGCUUUCGCCUGUGACGAAGCGUGAGUGACGGUAAUGGGUAAAGAAGCACCGGCUAACUACGUG